rnacentral:rRNA from 1 species
GUCUACAGCUAUACCACCCUGAACGCGCCCGAUCUCGUCUGAUCUCGGAAGCUAAGCAGGGUCGGGCCUGGUUAGUACUUGGAUGGGAGAAUUACAUGAGAUAAUGUAUGGGUACAAUAUACA